UACGAAGGGGGCUAGCGUUGCUCGGAAUCACUGGGCGUAAAGCGCACGUAGGCGGAUUGUUAAGUCAGGGGUGAAAUCCUGGAGCUCAACUCCAGAACUGCCUUUGAUACUGGCGAUCUUGAGUCCGGGAGAGGUGAGUGGAACUGCGAGUGUAGAGGUGAAAUUCGUAGAUAUUCGCAAGAACACCAGUGGCGAAGGCGGCUCACCUGGCCCGGUACUGACGCUGAGGUGCGAAAGCGUGGGGAGCAAACAGG
rnacentral:rRNA from 1 species